GAAUAAGCAAGAUAAGAGGAGAUUCUAAAGAGAUUGUUUUAUUCUUGAAAUUAAUUCAUCUGUUUUGCUGUUUUAUCAUCUUAACAUUUUAUCUUUUACCAGCCUUCAGAAAUGUGUAUUCUUGUAUCGUUGAACUUAAAUAUUUAAAUUCAAUUUUAGAUUUUAAAAAUGAUACUAAAAUGCCUAUAGCUUUCAGGUUAUGUUAUAGUUGGUGAAGGUAGAACUUUGUUAUAUAUUAAGAAUCAUUCAAGAUUUUAACUUUUUUUUCUCUAUUCCAGAGGAAUUUGCCCAGAGUGCCAUACGCUAUGGACAAGUCACACCACUAGAAAUUGAUAUUCUAUAUCAGCUUGCAGACUUAUAUAAUGCUUCAGGGCGCUUGACUUUGGCAGAUAUUGAGAGAAUAGCCCCAUUGGCUGAGGGGGCCUUACCUUACAACCUGGCAGAACUUCAGAGACAGCAGUCUCCUGGGUUAGGCAGGCCUAUCUGGCUCCAGAUUGCCGAGUCUGCUUACAGAUUCACUCUGGGCUCAGUUGCUGGAGGUGAGUGACAUG
rnacentral:sRNA from 1 species